GAUGAACGCUGGCGGCGUGCUUAACACAUGCAAGUCGAGCGAGUGAGUUCUUCGGAACAAUCUAGCGGCGGACGGGUGAGUAACACGUGGGCAACCUGCCUCAUAGAGGGGAAUAGCCUCCCGAAAGGGAGAUUAAUACCGCAUAAAAUUAUCGAGUGGCAUCACAUGAUAAUCAAAGGAGUAAUCCGCUAUGAGAUGGGCCCGCGGCGCAUUAGCUAGUUGGUGAGGUAACGGCUCACCAGGCGACGAUGCGUAGCCGACCUGAGAGGGUGAUCGGCCACAUUGGUACUGGGACACGGCCCAGACUCCUACGGGAGGCAGCAGUGGGGAAUAUUGCACAAUGGGGGAAACCCUGAUGCAGCAACGCCGCGUGAGUGAUGAAGGUCUUCGGAUUGUAAAGCUCUGUCUUUGGGGACGAUAAUGACGGUACCCAAGGAGGAAGCCACGGCUAACUACGUGCCAGCAGCCGCCGUAA
rnacentral:rRNA from 1 species